UGGUGGAGCGAUUUGUCUGGUCAAUUCCGAUAACGAACGAGACUCUAGCCUACUAAAUAGUUCGGGGACCCCCACAAAGGGGCCUCGCUUCAACUUCCUAGAGGGACAGGUGGCGUUUAGCCACACGAGAUUGAGCAACAACA
rnacentral:rRNA from 1 species